CCUACGGGCGGCAGCAGUGGGGAAUAUUGCACAAUGGGGGAAACCCUGAUGCAGCGACGCCGCGUGAGUGAAGAAGUAUCUCGGUACGUAAAGCUCUAUCAGCAGGGAAGAAAAUGACGGUACCUGACUAAGAAGCCACGGCUAAUUACGUGCCAGCAGCCGCGUUAAUACGGAGGGGGCAAGCGUUAUCCGGAUUUACUGGGUGUAAAGGGAGCGUAGACGGCAGCACAAGUCAGGAGUGAAAUCCCGGGGCUUAACCCCGGAACUGCUUUGGAAACUGUACGGCUGGAGUGCAGGAGGGGUAGGCGGAAUUCCUAGUGUAGCGGUGAAAGGCGUAGAUAUUAGGAGGAACACCGGUGGCGAAGGCGGCUUACUGGACUGUAACUGACGUUGAGGCUCGAAGGCGUGGGGAGCAAACAGGAUUAGAUACCCGGGUAGUC
rnacentral:rRNA from 1 species